GCAUUAGUAGCUCAACGUCAGAGCACCGGUCUUGUAAACCGGCAGGUGGAGGUUUAAAUCCUCCCUAUUGCU
rnacentral:tRNA from 1 species